rnacentral:lncRNA from 1 species
CGACUGCCCAAAAAACUGGGGGGGCUACCGCCCCCCCCGCCCCCCGCCCGGUACGCCUAUGAUUAGCUUAACCCAUAGGUUAACCUAAACUUCUAAGUCCUGACAGCUUGUCUAUAAAUUUGGAAAUGUUUCUUCAGAAAUCUUGGCUGGGUCGAUAGGAGUUUACUUCUUGACGUUUUGAAUUAAACAGACAUGCAGAAAUACACAAACCAAAGCAGCAGGUUAAUUUUAACCCAGGGUUAGCCAGCGGCGUAGCCAACUCGAUAAUUGGGGGG